rnacentral:rRNA from 1 species
UACGUAGGGACCGAGCGUUGUCCGGAUUCAUUGGGCGUAAAGAGCUCGUAGGCGGCUGCUCAAGUCGAAUGUGAAAACUCGAGGCUCAACCUCGAGCCUGCAUUCGAUACUGGGCGGCUAGAGUCUGGUAGGGGGAUCUGGAAUUCCUGGUGUAGCGGUGGAAUGCGCAGAUAUCAGGAGGAACACCGAUGGCGAAGGCAGCCCCCUGGGCUAACACUGACGCUCAGGCACGAAAGCGUGGGGAGCAAACAGG